AGUAGAUUCGUGUGUGUCUGCGCGUGCGUGCGUGUGUGUGUGUACGCAUGGACAGUGAGAGGGGAGAUUACGUGAACAUGUGGGAUGUUUGCCCGGGUUAUGGGAGCAGUUCUUAGCAGUCCACCAAGAAUUCCCGGAAUCAGAGUCAGUCCAGCCGCUUUCUUCCAGCUCGCCUACCUCAGUCCACAGGACCGCAAGCCACAUCAGCUGACAUUCCUCCCAGCUUAUAAACCAGCUUCAACUUCUCACCUCCCUGGGCACCCAGGACACCCACCACCUACAGUGAGCUCUUUCUAACUCUUUUGGUGGAUAUGAACGAUUCCAGUUGCCUUCUAUGGGCCUCCCUAAACUCCGGAGACUGGGAAGCAAACUCUUCGUGUCUGGGGUUCCCCUGUGGCUGAAGUCCCCAGUGUGACUCAGGGCCUGUCAAUCAAAGUCAGAAGUGAUACCAAGUCCGAGCACCCGAUUCUGCCACUUGUGCCAGCAAGCCUAACAGUGACAAAGCUCUCAGGGAUUGACGGAUUGCUUUGGAGGGUAAAAGGCAAGAAUGUGGCAUCUGGCUUGCUGAUUCAGCUUGUAGCUCACACAGAGUGGCUCUAGAGUGGGAAGCGGUAGUGAGAGUUUUCUGAUAAUACAGCCGCCUACUGUUAGCAGUGGCUCUGGAACUGGUACAGAAGCGAAGCACCAGGUACCUGGUUGUAGAAGAGACCGCAGCUCCCACGGUGGCCUGUUCUUCAGUGUUGCUCCGACAGUAUUUCUUAAAAAUCCAGUAUCAUCUGUUUCUUUAGUUUCCCCAAUGAUUCUACACACCUUCUGAAUCCUUUAAUAAAUAUCUUUCUGCUUGA